UACGGGGGGGGCAAGCGUUGUUCGGAAUUACUGGGCGUAAAGGGCUCGUAGGCGGCCAACUAAGUCGGAUGUGAAAUCCCCAGGCUCAACUUGGGAACUGCAUCCGAUACUGGAUGGCUUAAAUUCGGGAGAGGGAUGCAGAAUUCCAGGUGUAGCGGUGAAAUGCGUAGAUAUCUGGAGGAAUACCGGUGGCGAAGGCGGCAUCCUGGACCGACAUUGACGCUGAGGAGCGAAAGCCAGGGGAGCAAACGGG
rnacentral:rRNA from 1 species